rnacentral:rRNA from 1 species
GAUGAACGCUAGCGGCAGGCUUAACACAUGCAAGUCGAGGGGUAACAUAAGGUAGCUUGCUACUUUGAUGACGACCGGCGCACGGGUGCGUAACGCGUAUAGAAUCUACCUUGUACAGGGGGAUAGCCUUUGGAAACGAAGAUUAAUACCCCAUAGUAUGUAUGACUGGCAUCGGUUAUACAUUAAAACUCCGGUGGUACAAGAUGACUAUGCGUUCUAUUAGUUAGUUGGUAAGGUAACGGCUUACCAAGACAGCGAUAGAUAGGGGUCCUGAGAGGGAGAUCCCCCACACUGGUACUGAGACACGGACCAG